AGUCGAACCAACCGGCAGCAGGACUGUCACCAUAAAAACUUCCGGUCACGAAAAAUCGCAUUUCACCGUGAUGUUGGCGUUUAUUUUGUUUCGGGGUUCAAGGCGGGAAGUGGCAAGACUACAGGAUGUCCAGGAGGCUAAGGUGUCGACCUCGGUAAAUGGAUGGAUGAAUCAGGAAUUAACAGUCACGUGGUGUCAGUAGUUUGGGGUGUUUUUAGUUUCCAGAAGAGACUCCUCGUCUGGGAUGCUUAUCGCUGUCACAUCAGUGAGGAACUGAAAGCAAAACUGAAGAAGUAUAACAUACCAAUGGCAGUUAUCCCCGGUGGUUGCAUUAAGUACAUCCAGUCUGCUGAUGUUGUGUGGAACAAGCCCUUCAAAGAUCAGCUUCCAGAGUUUUAUGACAAAAGGAUGCUCGCGACGGAGAUAAAGAGUGGACAUCCGGCGGGAAUUUAACAGGCCGGCUCUGCGUUUGCUGGUUAUGUGGAUAACAUCAGCUUGGAAAGAAAUCACCUGGAAAUGAUCAGAAAAUCCUUCAAGAUCCGUGGAAUCACCAAUGCAUGUGAUGGAUCUGAAGAUGAUCUGAUCCACAGCCAUGUCAUUCUGGGAGAGCAGAACUUCAAACUGCGCGGCAGACAGCCGGAGCUUCUGUGCUGCCGUUACAAGAGGAGGAAGACGAGGACGAACUGGAGAAUAACGAAGCGAUCAUAUCCCACUCAGACAGUGAUGGUAUGAACUGUUGUUUCUUGUUUUUAUCUGAUCUCAUGGACCGGCAUGCGUGGGUUCUGAGCUUGUUGCAUUUCCUCAUGUUUCUUAGGGGAUUUGUCGGGCCGAUGAGUUGGACUGGUCCUGGUCAGCGUCUGGUAUUAUGUGAAUCUGUUGGACUGAUGAACGCUUUUGUGGGAGAGAUGGACUGGAGCAGACCAGCGUUUAUGACAUCUUUGGAGGAGAAAUGGUUCCUGUCAUAUUACCCGUUCCUUGAUGCUAAUGGUAGCCUAUUACCUUACUGUUCUAAAAUUUAAAUAAAUCUGGAAAUAUUGUUGGAAUGUUCAUCCACUGUUGUCUAUAUUUUGUGGUUGAGUUUGAACCCAUUAGCCAUCCCCAUUCUGUGUGUGAGGGAAUAAACGCCGGUCUCAGAUAGACGCCGGUCUCUUAUAAAGGCCGGGCCAGCUGCCAAAUGAUUGGAAUAAAUGCCGGGGCUGAUAUUGGAAGAUACACGGUAUGUAAUCAUUAGUCCUAUAUUUUUGACACUGUGGCUUUUUCAACUCAACUCAGCUUUCUCAGCUUUAUUUAUAUAGCACUUUCACAUAGCAGAUAGCUAAAACAAAGUGCUGAACACUAAAAACAUAAAAGACAGUCACACUAAGACAAGACAAAGAGAUAAAUAAAACAAUAAAAUAAUAGAAGCAGUAAAAUAACAGUACAAAACAGCAUCAGUCUCAAGAUGGGUUAAAAGCCAGGGCAUAAAAAUGAGUCUUUAGACGUGUUUUAAAAAUGGACAACGACGGUGCUUCUCUAAUAAACAAUGGCAAAGAAUUCCAGAGCCUGGGGCCAGCAACCGCAAAGGCCCUGUCCCCUCUGAGCUUACGCCUGGACCUCGGUGUCUCCAGAAGGAGCUGGUCAGCUGAUCUAAGGCAUCGGGCCGGCGAAUAAGGAGAAAGCAGCUCAGAGAGGUAUAAGGGGGCCAGACCGUGUAAAGACUUAAAAACAAAUAAAAGUAUCUUAAAAUGAAUUCUAAAAUGUACAGGCAGCCAGUGGAGCGAUGCUAAAAUCGGCGUGAUGUGGUCUCUCUUACGUCCUCCAACCAAGAGGCGAGCAGCUGCAUUUUGAACACGUUGGAGGCGUGAGAGAGACGUCUGGCUAAGUCCAAGGUAAAGUGAGUUACAGUAAUCCAGCCGAGACGUGAUAAAGGCAUGGAUUACUGUUUCAAACUGUGCAGGAGAUAAAAAAGGUUUCACCUUGGAGAGUUGCCGAAGAUUAUAAAAGCUUGUUUUCACCACUGAGCUGACCUGAUGAUCAAGCUUAAAAUGACUAUCAAACUUAAAACCUAAAUUAGAAACAGUUGAUUUUAAAAAGUUAGUCAAAUGACCCAGAUCGAUUGGAGAUGAUCCUCUGCGAUCAUUUGGUCCAAACAUAAGUGCUUCUGUCUUGUUCUCAUUCAAGCUCAGGAAACUUAGGGCCAACCAGUCCUUAAUAUCUGCAAGGCAUGAAAAGAGCGGGCUAGCUGAGAAACCGUCCAUCUUUUUCAAUGGCAGGUAUAUCUGACUAUCAUCAGCAUACAGGUGAAAAGAAACACCGUGUCUUCUCAGAAUGGACCCUAAUGGCAGGAGAUACAAAGAAAA